CAGAGUGUUUCCAGAUGUGAUCAGAGAUGUUUCCAGAUGUGAUAGGAUUGUUUCCAGAUGUUUCCAGAUGUGAUCAGAGACGUUUCAGAUGUUAUCAGAGAUGUUUCCAGAUGUGAUCAGAAGAUGGUUUCCAGAUGUGAUCAGAGAUGUUUUCAGAUGUCAUCAGAGUUGUUUCCAGAU